CCGGCACACACACACAAUGAUAAUUGGUUCCAUGACUUCUACCACAGAAAUGCGAGGUCCCGUCAUCACCAGUCUUGAGACCGUCCGGUAGUCCAGCAGCUGCAGGACUCCCAGGGUCAACAGCCUGGACGUAACAGGGUGCAAUACCUCUAACAACAAAGCCCCAGCCCAAUGCAUCCCCCAUUACCUGGAACGCACGAUGGAAGAGAGAUCACUGGAGCUGUGUAAAGUCCCCUCUUGCUUCAAGAGGUCCACUAUCAUCCCCGGUCUCCAAGAAACCCUAUAUCACAUGAUUAAAUGACUACAGGCCCAUUGCCCUAACGUCUGUGGUCAUGCAAUCCUUUGAGAGACUGGUGUUGGCCCA